UGGAUCCCCUCCUAACAGGGAGACAACAAAAUGUUUAAUAUUAUUAUUUUGUCACCUUAGGUCGAUCGGUAUCUCACAUUCUUAAUUUAUUAAGAUUUUCAUUCCCUAAGUUUUUUGUAGGUCACACCCAUUACUUUUCCUGGGCCAUUAGCUCAGGUGGUUAGAGCGCACCCCUGAUAAGGGUGAGGUCCCUGGUUCAAGUCCAGGAUGGCCCAUAUCUCUAUGUUGGGGGUAUAGCUCAGUUGGUAGAGCGCCUGCUUUGCAAGCAGGAUGUCAGCGGUUCGAGUCCGCUUACCUCCACUGCUUACCACCUCUUCCAUAAGAUAAGGAAAUGUUUUGAGUAUUGAUUAAAUCCUGAACGAUUCUAGCUUCCUAAUAGAAAUAUUAAGAUGCUGGACUCAAUGAAUCUAUUUCAUUGUUUUCAGAGAACCUUGACAACUGCAUAGAUUAUUUUAAAGACAAUAAGCAUCUUUAAUGAUGCAGAUUUAUUAUUUGUGCGAAUGCAUUAAUAACAAUUCUAUUAAGCUGAUGCUUCAAUUUUUGAAGUUAUUGGUCAAGCUACAAAGGGCUCACGGAGGAUACCUAGGCACACAGAGGCGAUGAAGG
rnacentral:tRNA from 1 species